AUUGAACGCUGGCGGAAUGCUUUACACAUGCAAGUCGAGCGGCAGCACGGGGGCAACCCUGGUGGCGAGCGGCGAACGGGUGAGUAAUACAUCGGGACAUGCCCAGUCGUGGGGGAUAACACUUCGAAAGAAGUGCUAAUACCGCAUACGUCCUGAGGGGGAUAGCGGGGGAUCGCAAGACCUCGCGCGAUUGGAGUGGCCGAUGUCAGAUUAGCUAGUUGGUGGGGUAAAGGCCUACCAAGGCAACGAUCUGUAGCUGGUCUGAGAGGAUGAUCAGCCACACUGGGACUGAGACACGGCCCAGACUCCUACGGGAGGCAGCAGUGGGGAAUUUUGGACAAUGGGGGCAACCCUGAUCCAGCCAUUCCGCGUGAGUGAAGAAGGCCUUCGGGUUGUAAAGCUCUUUCGGCAGGAACGAAACGGUGAGCUCUAACAUAGCUUGCUAAUGACGGUACCUGAAGAAGAAGCACCGGCUAACUACGUG
rnacentral:rRNA from 1 species